UGGCUCAUGGUCAACUUGCUGUCCACCAGGACCCCCAGGUCCUUCUCCGCAGAGCUGCUUUCCAGCAGGUCAGCCCCCAGCCUGUACUGGUGCAUGGGGUUAUUCCUCCCCAGGGGCAGGACCCUGCACUUGCCUUGGUUGAGCUUCAUGAGGUUCUUCUCCGCCCAACUCUCCAGCCUGUCCAGGUCUCUCUGAAUGGCAGCACAGCCCUCUGGUGUCUCAGCCACUCCUCCCAGUUUGGUAUCGUCAGCAAACUUGCUGAGGGAGCACUCUGCCCCUUCGUCCAGGUCACUGAUGAAGAAGCUGAACAAGACUGGACCCAGUACUGGCCCCUGGUGACACCGCUAGCUACAGGCCUCCGACUAGACUGCGCCACUGAUCACAACCCUCUGAGCUCUGCCCUUCAGCCGGGUCCCAGUCCACCUCAUGGUCCACCCAUCUAACUCGCACUUCCUGAGCUUAACUAUGAGGAUGUGAUGGGAGUCAGUGCUGAAAGCCUGGCUGAAGUCAAGGCAGACAACAUCCACUGCUCUCCCCUCAUCUACCCAGCCAGUCAUCCCAUCACAGAAGGCUAUCAGAUUGGUCAAGCAUGAUUUCCAAUGUCCCUUAUGUAAAGGUCUGAUUUUACCUCUGGAGGUAAGUCCAGCAUAGAAGAGGCCAUAGGCCUGAUCAAAUGCCCCAACAGAUAGUUUAACAUCCACAGGAUCCGUGAUGAAACAAAAGGGCACCUGAGAUGCCAGGCUGCACGGAGCCCACCAUCCGCCCUGCUGGGAUCACCACCCUUUCACGCCAAACCUUCGGGGUGGCCGGCACACUCUCAGGCUCUCGCUCAAGCAGACUCUGCCGCUGACCAGCGCUGUUGGGUUUCUGGCCUUGACCAACGUCAUCAGCGGCAUCCGAUGCAACGCGUGCUACCUAGCCCAGUGUGGGACGGGCUAGUGCCGUCCCCAGUCCUGGUGGUCGCAGAGGUGCCACAUGUACGGCAGUAUCCAACCACUGUACCGUGAGGGCAAGACGCAAUGGGGGAGCACUGCGCUGUGCAAGAUCUGUGAGAGCUCUGCCUGACUGGGAGAGAGAGGGUCGGGUCUAGUGUGUGAUAAAUAGAGUUACGUGUCUGGGCAGGUUAUCACAGCUGAGAACAGCUUUUGGAGAAGCUUUUGUUUCAGUAACAUUUGGGGAGGAAGCACUGGCUCCAGGCUAUUCUCAGGAAGAACAACUUUUUGUGUGUGCAAAUGGCCAUUGCCAAGCCUCGUGCUGUGCUGCUAGGGCUCAGUGACACGCGGCCCUGUGCCUGACCCCCAUCCAGAAGCUGAAAGGAAGCCCCAGGGAAUAAGUUCUUUAAAAGAAAAAGCAAUCCAAAAUUAUCGGUACAUUACAACACAUUGAAAAUACGCAGUAUCUUUAGCAUGAUGCAACCUGGCAAGAGGUCUCGAGGCUUGGUAGUUACUCCAUCAAAUCAUCCUCAGGAGAUGACUAAACAUCCUCUUCUCCCAGGGACUAUUUGUCACUGUCAGUGCUGCAGAAGUUCAGCAGCUAUCUAUAGCACCACGUGCUGGGAGCCAGCUCCUCCGCCCAGACCAAACUGGUUAGUUUGGAUCAAUGCUUGAACGUGAGACAUCAAGGAAACGGCAGAGUGCUGCGGGAAGCUGCCUCUGUGAUAUUAACUCUUCACUCAGCCACUCGAUCAGAAAAGCUCUAGCAUGGUAUGAAGGCUGCUGGUGAGCAGGAAGAGAUGGCUUCUUUUUGGGGGGAAGCAUAAACACCAAUCCCAGAUGACGAGGUUUGUGCAAGAGUAAGAAUAUUCACCUACUGUCUGGAUCAAAUUUCCACUCGGAUAAAUCUGCUCUGACAAGCUAAAUUCCCUACCUACACUCAGCUAUGAAGAGCGUUCUUGAAUUGCCCUGAACUGCUACGUAAUCUCCUGUGCCCGGUUAACAGCGGUGAUGGUUCACCCAGAUAUGGUGGCAGAUCUGGGAUGGAUGCAGUGAGCUACGCAGGUUUUGCAUAUUACUUUGCAAGGACAACUAGGAGUUUUUAAAGUAAAUGAAGCUAAAUAAAUACAUACUGAAGAGAGUGCUGCUAGGGAUAGCGUAAAAGGAUGCCCCUAAGAACAUUAACUGCUUUCACUCCCAUGCAAAAUCUCUCCCAUCAGCUGGGAUUCGGGGCUGCGGGAACCUGCGCUCUUGUAUGUGUGGGCCGAGGUGGGCAUCUGCCAUUGCUGGCAGCCUUCACUAACAGAACUGCUGCAAGGAAAUGUUUCUCAGCAAAGAAUUUGGGUUGCAGCAUGUUUGUGAGCUAAAACAGGCUGACAGGAUCACGGAGGUAUUUUGAGAAGUUGAUAGCCAAACUCCUCGAUGGGAGCAACAAGUGGGUGUUUUCAGUCUGCACACAAAACACUCACGUAAUGCUGCUCUAGCAAAUCUGACAUACUGGCUGCAGCGACUUUCUAAGUGCCUUGCUUGCACUCAUUUCCAACAAAAUAUAUGGAGAGCAAAAAGGAGACCGCUGAAUUACGGCAUCGACAAAAUAUGAGAGGUUUAACAGCUACAAGCGUAAAUAGGGGUAGUCGACACAGACUGUCAUGGCCACAGGGAUGAAAACAGCUCCGUAAUUCAGAUCAACCUGAGACCUGCAGAAACUUGACUUCAGCAAACGAAAGCAGAUGGUGAUUGAUCAACGCACCGUCAGUCCUGCAGAUUAAAACGAGCUUUCUGCAGAGCGCCUUAAAAAUAGGGGUGUGUAGGCAAAACAACACGCAGGGCCAAAGCAAGGCGCAGAAGUUAACUGGAAGAAGACAAAUGAUCUCACGUUCCCCGGUUCAACGCGGCAGUCAUCUGGCAGACCUGCUCGCACAAUGCGUGCCCCCCUCCCGCCGACCUUCUCGAGAAGCCCCCCCGCCCGGGCUGCUACAAGGGACCUCUUUGUGCCACACCACCAGAUUCCCACCAGCUCCCUAAUUAAACAGGGUACACUCCUGCUGCAUAAAAUUAGAUAAAAAAGAUUAAAACUAUUUCUCCUGACAACGUAUUCUUCAGGGGCUCUUACCAGGGCUGUAAAACAUGUGAGACAGAGUUUAACGAGAUUUCCCUUAUGAGGAAUGUAAACAGACACUGUUAACCUUUGCUAGCUUCUUUGGACAGAUGCAAUAAUUUUCCUCAGAGCUACAAGUGAAGCCCUCUUUUUUGUUAAACGUGCAAUUUAAUCAGUUCAGCACUGAAAACCCCAAUAAAUCACAAAGACUGGCAGCACACUGGUGUGCGGUUAAUAAAUAUCCAUACAGCCUGUUUCCUGAAGGUACGAUGAGAGACGAAGCAGCGCCGCAGCCACCUAACUGAACGCACGCUGCUUUGGAUCAGGUCUCAGAAAGGACGUCAUUUUAUGUCAUUUUAUGGGUAAGGUGUUGGGACGAGGACUCUCAAGUGUCUCAAAACACGAGCUAAUUGUGUUUAAUUGCAACUCAUUUAUAUUUGAGCAUCCACAAACAGGUAGGAAUUAACAGCCAAAUUGUUUGCUAACAUCUCAGGGAAGUCUGUGGGCUUGUCUCUUAAUUGCUCUGUUUUAUGUGUAACAGCUAUGGCUUUAACUGAGCUGAAGAAACCAGCUCAGGCACAACGCUUCUCCAGGCAAUACACCUCAACACACGGGAAAAUACCGAGACUGAGGGGAUGGAGAGUUAUCUUCCUGCAUAAAUUACCUAAAAAAAAAUGCUUGGCAAAUGUGAGGCAGCGUUACCUAGAUCUUUGUUUUUCUGCAUUUCAGUGCACUUCCUGGUGUGAACACUUGCACUUUUUAAAUGUACACGUGUUGAAAAUUUAAUCGGUGUUGUGGCAAUUUGUUUGUUUGUCAUCGGCUGGCUGCACGGCGAUGCUGUAAACGAUGAGCUCAGGUACACAAACCUAGAAACAUGCGUGUGAAGGAGGAUGCUGAGAGUAUGGAUGGGCCCAAAACAAAGCAGCAAGCAAACCUGGGAGACUGCUACAGAGAAAUCUUUGCGCUCCCUGGACUGAUUUAUAUCAUGCAAACAUCCAUGCCUUUGAGCUUUGCAUUAUCAGUGCUUUUCACCUGCCCGAGAGGGUCCAUCAGCUUACAGAAAAUAUCUGGGGCAUAUCACCAAAAGCUGCCCGGAGGACAGCGAGCUAACCGAAGGCAAUUAUGCAACCGAAAACCAUGGCUAACAUACCUCCCAUCUGUGCAUCUCAGAUCUCUGAUGUGGAAAGUUGUAACACAAAUAUUGCAUGAAUGCAGCCUGUACACAGCACUGUUUCCAGGCAUGACCUUUAUUCUGCUGGAAGUAAGCUAUCCCUUGAAUAAUCCCAAUUCUCUGAUAUUUUUGAUUUCUGUAGAAUGCAUUGUACCCACCAGGCUUUGAAUAUACAAUAUUGAGGAAGCAGAUGACGCAGGCAGCUGUUUUCCCCCACCCAUCCCUAUUUAUUUUCUCUCUCAGGAAAUACAGCACAUGUGAACAUGCCAGAUUAAGAGCUUUGGAGACUAAAAGUCCUGAAAGUCUCUGUACGGGCUGUGGAUAGGGCACACACAGAUGCCAUACAGGCUUCUCCAGACUCCUCUAUCAGCGUAGUCCAGCUUUGGAAAGGCAUUUCCCCAAAACUGUGGGGUUGCACUGUCACACAGAGCAGAACGAGAGGCCGAGCCCCAAACUGUGUGUGGAGAAGGUCUUCUUGGAGCCAUGCGAAGCACGAGCUCGGAGCCGCCUCUUCCAGGAGGUACCAGUGAGGCACCCCACCGCAGUCCCGCAGCAGAGGCUACCGCAGACUAUCGCGGCUCCGCAGCUACCGCGUCUGCUGCGGGGAACGCCAGCCCUGAACGCUGGGCAGGUCUGUGGGAUGGUAACGCUGUGGCUUACCCACACAAUGGACCUGACUUGUGGGCCUGAAAUAACAGCUGGCUUCCUGGACUGUCCUGGGAGCACUGAGAUCAUACAGAUGCCUACAGCUGGCCUGUCGAAAGCAGCAUACAAAUAUGUCAUCUGCAGAAGAAAUUAAUAACCUACUAGGCAGAUUCUGCCCAGCUCCUCAGCAGCUGGAAGAAUAUCAGCCUGGGAAGUCCCAGGAGGGGUGCGAGGCUGGGGGCUGAGCGAUCUGCCCUGGCUAUUGGUGCAAUGCCGUCUCCCACCGUUGUCCCGAACUGCACACGCCCUCGACGCCUGCAGCUCAGUUACCCCGGCAGAGCAAUGCGCCUGCCCUGUGCCGACGGAGACGGGAGCGUCCGACCUGCCGGCCGGCCGGGAUGCCGGGGUGCUCGUGCUUCCGCACCCGCAGCGGCCACCUCGAGCACCGACGGGAAGGCUUUCGGUGGAGCAGCCUCUGGGUGCUGCUGGUCUGCAGACCCGCUGCAGGCAGCCACAGCCAACGCCUUUGUCACCCCUGGGAGCGAAGGCAAACACGCGUACGAAGUGAGGGGUAACUCACGCAUUCGUCCAUAUACUUGCUUAACCGAGAAACAGGCAUGAAACAUAGUACUGUGAUGGGGAAAUGUGAUGCUGAGUGCUGCUGUAUAAGGGACACUAUUAUUAGCGAAAUGUUUUCAUAUAAUUACAUCAGAGCAUAAUAUUUUGUUAGAACUGACUUCUUUGCCCCCACCUCCAAAACCGUUCAUGCAAAAAUGCACUGUAAAGUCAGGCUGGUUUCAACAAAUAUUUAAAAAAGCAGACCACUGGUGUUCAGGCAUCUGAACAACAAUUUUCCUUGUUGAAACUGCAGAGCUCUCCCAUUUUGUAAAGCAAGGGCAGUUCAGCGGGGGAGCCACGCGCCAGCAGCGUAUGCGUGCAGCGUUAGAGGAGCGGGAGCUGGUUGUGCGAGCGGGACGGCUCCAGCCUGCCUGCCCUCACAGCAGCCCGCCGGGGGACGGGGAGAGCUGAAACUCGGUGGCCCUCGGAUGACGAGCCGCUCAGGCAGCCCGGAGGUACCAGGAGAGGGUCUGACGUUCCUCCCAGCAAGGCAGCUGUAAGGGACAAACUGCCAUGAAUCCGAAGAGGAGGAGAGAGCAACUUCUCUGAGCUGGGGCCGAGUUCCUGACAAAUGACAUCCCUUACCUGUCUAAGGCUGGGACCCACUGUGGUCCCGUCCCCCCCUGAAUCCACGGGUUUGCCACCGCUGCUCAAAAAUCCGUCUUGCUCGGCGCUCGGGAUGAUGGAUAUUUGCUUGAACUUCUCAGAGAAGACUCAGACAGAAGGCGGUUACCGUACCUGUGAGUGCCACCCUUAGCCUCAUGGAGGCAAUUUUAAUGCACUUCAUGGGGUGAGGACACACCCGCGCAGAGAAGCACUGGUGAUGUUUGUGCAACACACUCUGUUAGGCCAAGUGAUCCAGCCAGAGGAAACAGAUAAACUCCCGACAACACGAGCCCUUUGUCUGGUUUAAAAUAGCAGCAAGCUUGCAGCUGAAGGCAGGCUGUGAUUUACUGCCCUGCGUUCGACUCGGUUACCUCCAGCGGCGCGUCCGAACGGCUGUGCCGAGCGACACCGGCAAAGCGACCGCGCUGGCUCCACCGUACGCGGCACCGCGUUUUGGGAGUCCUUCCAAAGACCCCGCGCUGAGCGCGAUCGACGCGGGGGCCUCUCACGGGUCACGGGAGAGCCCAAACGCGGGGUGCACGCCGCGGCUGCGCGCGCUAAGCCUGGGAGUGCCGGUAAGCAGCGGUCAUGUGAGCGGGCCGGCAAGGUUUUGCCUAAGUAGCGCUUGCUCAUUAGCAGGCAUUAGGAGCCAGGGUUCGGGGCGCGCGCUCGUGCGGGCCUGCCGGGGAGGGGGCCGGCAAGGCCCGAGCUACAAAAGGCGCCUUUGUUCGCUGCCCGCUGCUCGCAGGGGCCCUUCUGCCAGGCACGACAGUGUCUCUGGGCUCACGCCGCGCGCUGCAGCGGUGAAGCCUAUGCCUGGCUGUAACGAAACGUGAAAGCUUUUAUGGCAGUUAACGGGCUCUUUCUGCCCCCGGACGACCCGGCCCCGUGGGUUAUUUCGCCGGGGCAGAGCAGCACCUGCGUCCGGACUGCCCGCACCGCGUCUCUCCCUCCUCCGCCACGUUGCCCGGGUUUCCCUAGGCACGAUUUUCUCCUACCGACUCUCUCCGUCCGAGAUAGCUAGCUCCUACCUGAGCCCUACUGCUUAGAUAGCCAGAGGCAGAUGUAAAGACUCUGGCCUUAACGUCAGGCCUCCCUCUUGCGCUGCUGCAGUCUGCAACGCCACGGUGGAAAUGACCCCCAUGCCAGGUAGGUCCGUGCGAGGGAAACGGCCCCGGGUGCAGCACCCGCUGGAGCCCUGCGCUUACAUAUGGAUGGGGGCACCUCGUGCUGCAACGCGUGCGCAGCACAGAUGUUUUCCAUAAAAGCAAGUCUCGCUCCCCUCCUCACGCGUUAAACACACACUCGCUGUUUGCUGAGAAAACCUAAGAACUGCCCCUGCUUUGCCAAACUCUACAGUGUAACGGGGUGUUUGCAAGCACCGUGAGACUCGGCCUUGCCUGCUUGGAUUAAUUAUUGAUGACCCGUACGGCUCUGCCAAGUGACCUUACUCAAUUCAGUAGAAAAUCAUUUUAAAUGCCUCCAGGAAAGAAUCUGGACAUAAAUAUGUUCUUUGUGCAUACAUACAAACAGAUGUGCAUCUUAAAUGCAACCAAUGCAUUAGCUAUUAAUGGGACUUAAUAUUACACUAGAGUGGGAAAGAUUAAUUUCCAGGGCUGAAUUUGCAGCCCAGUGGCGUUCAGGCACCUUCCUCUGUGAGGCGCUUUUAAAGACCUUAACCUAGGAGAGUAUUUCAUUGCUUUCCUAUACCCCAUUGUCUCCAUAAUCCAUAUGAAAUAUGCAAAAUGAAUGCAGGCUUCUGCAUUUGCAAAGCAUCGCAGGGGGAUUUAAAUCACAGAACUCUGGCAGAUCCAGAUACCAGCAAGAAAGGGGAUUUUCGGAUUAUAAAAGAGAGAAGUCUAAAUUUAAGGUUUAGAUUGCUGCUUGGAGAAGUUUAAUUUUAAAAGUAUUAGGCCAAAGCUGCACUGAUAAUGUGACCCUCUACACAAGACACUCAAAGAUACAGCAUUAAAAGGCUGUUUCUCACCAAACAGGAAUUUGAACUACCGUAAAGAUAAUAUUAUUUAUCUUCAGAUGGUGUUUCCUAAAUCAAAUUAAAUGAGAGUGAAGCUAUGAGAAUUAUCUGGGUGACUCUCCGGAAGCUCAAGAAGACGGACGCGUUGGUAGGCAAUUCUCCUUUUCAGAUGACGUUAGGAGCCAAUUCAGUCGUGUUAUGAACCAGCACUUUACUGCUUCAAACCCUUUUCUGUGUAAGAAGCUAAGAAAGUAGCCAAGUUGGAAAAUUAAGGCACACUUCAGAUCUUCAGCUGAAAACCCACUCAGCCCGGACGGGGCCAUGACACGGUCAGGCCACAGCCUGGACCUAGCGAACAGGAAUGACGGGUCAGCGGCGCCUGCCCGACCCCGGGCCUCUCUGCUGCGUCUCUGUCCGGCCGCUCCUCCUCCCCGGCUAUAUAUUAAAGAUCCUGGGCUAAAGAGGAAGAGGAUGACUGGGAGAUGAGCUCCCUAUCCGACCUGCUGGCAUUCUUGGGUAUCACACUGGCAUCUCUGUAUUUCUACAAAGCAAUCACCUUGUGCAGUAAUUUGUCUUCUUUGGACAACUCAGUUUUUUAAUGGGAUUCCAAGUAUGGUCUUCUUCACAUCAGUUCCUUUGCAGACUUGAAGUGUCAGAUUUGUCAAUUUGACAAGUUUGAAUAUUUAAUUAAACACCAAAAAAGACCAAGGCAAAGGUUUACAAAGAAAUGCUUAGAGAAUUUGCAUAAAAUUAAUGGGAACUCAGCAUCCAUCCUUAGAGCACUUUCGGGAUCUCAAUUUAAACAUAUCACUAUGCAAUGCUACCCAUAUUUUUAUUCUGUGAGACUUCACUGAUGAAACAAAGCUGCUCACACCAAAUGUGAGGACUGCAUUUUGAGUGCGCCAAAGUCAACGCUCUGUAUAAAAGAUGGCAGCAGUUGGAAAAAAUGCUGGCCAGUUCCAAGGGAAGAGUUUGAAGGUAAGCAAGAUGCUUCAGAUGAGCUGGGAUUGCAGCUGGAUUGCUCUCCCAUGCAUGUUUUAGGACAAGAUUCCCACUAAAAGACACACUAAAGAGAACAAGGAGCGCUUAAGAGUCAAGAGAAUCAGUCAUUUAGUGGUUAUAUUUAGGGAAGGAAUAUUAAUCCAACCUCACUAUGCUCAAGGAUCUCAGGAACCCACUUGUCUCUAAACAUGCUCUUGUGCAAACACUGGUAACUUGUACAACGAAGACUGACCAGGAAGAGUUCAGACCUAAGCUUUUAAUAAGUGCCUAAUUUAUUCCCACUGAAUUAACCGGGGGUACUUCUCAGCAGAGCUUUCAAAAGCAUGCACUUUGCCACAGUUACUCUAAAUUAUGGCUCAUUUGCUUAAGCCUCUCUAUAACUCAGAUGUUCAGACUCUUCUCUUGGGAAGUUUGCAUGCUGCGAGCAUCUGCCCACUUUUGCUUCACUUUCCACAGCGCAAAGCAGAUGAGACUUUGUCUGCCUAGGAAAUACUUUUUUCUAAUGUCUGCAGACUUCUUGAUGUAUCCAUACAGAACCUUCUGGAUUAAAGGCAAUGAGCUUUUGGACAAGGAAUUAUCCUUUUCUAUCUGCACUGCACCUACAGCAAUGUAGCCUUGACUUGCUGAUGUCCAAGUUCUACUGCAAUAUAUUUUUUUCUAUUAAAUAGCAAAUUUGUUCUAUAA